AACGAACGCUGGCGGCAUGCCUAACACAUGCAAGUCGAACGAUACCUUCGGGUCUAGUGGCGCACGGGUGCGUAACGCGUGGGAACCUGCCCUUAGGUUCGGAAUAACUCCCCGAAAGGGGUGCUAAUACCGGAUAAUGUCUUCGGACCAAAGAUUUAUCGCCUUUGGAUGGGCCCGCGUUGGAUUAGCUAGUUGGUAGGGUAAAAGCCUACCAAGGCGACGAUCCAUAGCUGGUCUGAGAGGAUGAUCAGCCACACUGGGACUGAGACACGGACCAGACUCCUACGGGAGGCAGCAGUGGGGAAUAUUGGACAAUGGGCGAAAGACUGAUCCAGCAAUGCCGCGUGAGUGAUGAAGGCCUUAGGGUUGUAAAGCUCUUUUACCCGGGAUGAUAAUGACAGUACCGGGAGAAUAAGCUCCGGCUAACUCCGUG
rnacentral:rRNA from 1 species